UACGGAGGAUGCGAGCGUUAUCCGGAUUUAUUGGGUUUAAAGGGUGCGUAGGCGGUUUGUCAAGUCAGCGGUAAAAAUUCCGGGCUCAACCCGGUCCCGCCGUUGAAACUGGCGAACUCGAGAGGGAGAGAAGUAGGCGGAAUGCGCAGUGUAGCGGUGAAAUGCAUAGAUAUUGCGCAGAACUCCGAUUGCGAAGGCAGCCUACCGGCUCCUGUCUGACGCUGAGGCAC
rnacentral:rRNA from 1 species